rnacentral:rRNA from 1 species
GCUGGCGGCGUGCUUAACACAUGCAAGUCGCGUGCGCAGUUUCCGUAGCAAUACGGAGAUGGGCGCACGGCGCACGGGUGCGUAACACGUGGGCAAUCUGCCCUUUGAUGGGGAAUAACCCGCCGAAAGGCGGGCUAAUUCCGCAUAAGAUUCCUGGAACUUCGGUUCUGGGAUUGAAAGCAGCAAUGCGUCGAAGGAGGAGCCCGCGCCCGAUUAGCUAGUUGGUGAGGUAACGGCUCACCAAGGCUAUGAUCGGUAGCUGGUCUGAGAGGAUGAUCAGCCACACUGGAACUGAGACACGGUCCAGACUCCUACGGGAGGCAGCAGUGGGGAAUCUUGCACAAUGGGCGAAAGCCUGAUGCAGCGACGCCGCGUGGGGGAUGAAGCAUUUCGGUGUGUAAACCCCUUUCGACUGGGAAGAAUACCUCGCAAGAGGGGUGACGGUACCAGUAGAAGAAGCCCCGGCUAACUACGUGCCAGCAGCCGCGGUAAGACGUAGGGGGCCAGCGUUGUUCGGAAUUACUGGGUGUAAAGGGUUCGUAGGCGGUGCGGCAAGUUGGGAGUGAAAUCUCUGG